UUUUAUAUAUAUAUUUUUUAUUUUUCUAACUGUCAUACUAUAAAAGUAGCUGCAAUUAAAUGAAAAAAAGAUGUUUCAAUACAUAACAAUGUGAAACAGAAAAUCACAACAAAUGAACAUGGCCUCAUUAACGAAAGAAUGAAUUCAAGAAAGCGCAAUAACAAGUUUUCUCUGGGAACAAGUUCUUGUAAAUUCAAAAAGUAUAACUUAAAAAAUAUCACAAAUGUUUUGUUUAACCUUUUUUUUGUUUUAAAUCUAAAAUGUUUUCCUAGAACAUAUGUUUGAUGAAAAAACCAUGGUGACAUUCGGCAACUACUGUGUAUAACCAAAUAACAAAAUACACAUUUGUGGUAACAAUUAAAAAACAACAAAAACUUGUAUAAUCAUAAUUCUAACCAAAACAAAUGUGAAAAUUCUAAUACAAAAACUUUAAAACUGACAUUAUUGGCUUGUGGCUAUUUCACAAAUUGGCAAUGUAAAAAAACUUGUGGUACAUAAACUAAGAACAGUAAAUGACUCAUUUCCUUUCUUUUAACAAAGAAACUAAAUCAAAAUGUUAAAUGAAACCAUUAUUAAACACACUAAUACAGUUUAAAACAAAUACAUCUGCUGAUCAGCAAGUAGUUUUUGCCCUUGUGUCUGGUAGGCCAAAAUGAAUGGGUUGUUAUAUUUGAUUAAGGGAGUUAACUCUUCCUAAAACCAUUACAUUAUUACCUACCCCUCACAAUGGCAAGAAUUCUUCAGUGAUCACAAGACAUAUCACAAGUAUUCUUCAGUGAUCACAGGACAUAUCACAUGAAUCAUUCAGUGAUUACAUGACAUAUCACUUGACAUGACACAAAGAUACCACAUGACAUAUCACAAGAUAAUUCAGUGAUCACAUGACAUCACAAGAAUCCUUCAGUGAUCACAUGACAUAUCACAAGAAUCCUUCAGUGAUCACAUGACAUAUCACAAGAACCAUUCAGUGAUCACAUGACAUCACAUGACAUGACACAAAGAUAUCACAGUCUAUGAGUAGAGUUAGUUAAACCUGAGGUGACUGAUAAUACAUAACAUGUGCCAGACUGAUGAAGUGUGUAUAUAGUACAAUAUAUGCAAAUGAGAUGGUAACAUCUUGCAAGUAUUUAUAAACAUUUUAAUAAAAAGGAUUUCUUAUCUGUACAAGGCACAAUAAAGAUUAACAAGAAGAAACAUCACAAAAUUUAAGGCAACAAAAAAUCUCACAUGAUUCAAAGUCCAAAAUAUUUUAUAUUAAAAUUUGCUGAAGAUUAAAUAAUAAGGCUGUAAAGGUUAAGAGUUGUAUUUGAAUAAACUAAAUUCAUGUGGACACAAAUUUAAAAUAAUUCAACUCACCAACAGUUUGUUUUGUUUAUUUUCAUCCAAUAUAACAAUAUUUGUAAUGUUCAUGAAAGGUUAAAAAAUAUACAAGUGAUUCUCGAAUACAUUAUACAUGAUUAAGGACUAUUCAAGGAAAAAAAGGAUUGGGGUUUGGACACUUCUCUUUUCAUUCCCAAUUACUCCCACUACCUAUUAAAAAAAAGAGAGGUUCAGUGGUGUCCAAAACUCCCAUACCAUUUUUCUGUAAUAGCCCUUAACAUCCUUUGAGUAUAAGACUGAUAUGUUUUAUGUAUUAAAUAGAAUAUACAUUAGUAUGUAAAUAACAACAAAAUGGACGGUAAAAGUAUCACAGUUAUAGGUAUAACAACAAUGCAUAUAGACUAAAGAUAACAUAUCAACAUUUUAUACACAUAUAUAAACAGCUGUGCCAUAGGAGCAUGAUAUGGCUGUUCCCCUAUCAAUGUCAAAUAAGACUUUACCAAUACAUAGUUAAAAUUAAUUCAUGGGGUGAUUUUAGGUACAAAAAUUUUGCCUGUACAUUUAAUUGACACCAACCAAAAUCUUUAAAGUCAAAUAAUGUGUAUUGUUUGCCAUAAGAUUCUGUGUAAAGAUAAUGAGAUUUUAUAACAAGAGUGCACACACUGAAAUGUCUCGCCUUCUAUACUAAUCAUUGAUAUUAUGUUGAUAGUCCAAAGUAUAAAGCUAAGCUUUAUUACCACUGUUACAUAAACUUAACAUUAACUAAGAUAACUAAACAAAGACCAAUGAACCUUGAAAAUUAGGUCAAGGUCAGAUAAACCAUGCCAGGCAGACAUGUACAGCUAA
rnacentral:lncRNA from 1 species